CCCGCCUGCUUGUCACGUGGCCCCGCAGAGAUGGCGCCUUUUCUCGCUCCGAGCCGCCCCGGUGGGUUCGGAGGCGAAGAGAUUCAGACAAUGAAGAUGAGCUGGUCGGGCCUUGAGGAAGACUUAUUUCUUUUUCAUUUAUUUUCUGAAAUAAAGCCAAGACCGUUUGGCAGAAAAUUUCGUCGGGAAUAUCAUCUGACAGAGGAGUCUGUGUCAAAGACCCCGAGUUCCAGUCUUCACGGCCCUCAGCGGAGUUUGUCAUAACAUGGUCUGCUUUGGACAGAACAAACAACAAUGGCAGCAGGAGAGCGGGCGCUGAGAAAUGUGCUGACAAACCCUGGAUUCUUCUCAGCGUAAAACUGCUCCCCGUCGCCAUUUGCCCUACCAGUUGUCACUUUCCUCAACAUUCGAGUUGUGUGGUUCCAAACCUGCUGGAUUGUAGAUUUUGCAUUUUUCCUUUUCGGGGCUCAGACCAGCGGAUUUAGUCCACAUUUUCAGAAUCCGGGGCUGCCAAUCGGCCACAGUGUUUACUAGGUUGCCACUUUCAGAGUUCAGCUUUCAAGUAAAAAUUGGGCUAUUCAGUAAAUUCCCAUCUUAACAAACACCACAAUAGCUCGCUAAUUACCUUAAGGAAUACAUUUCCAAGUCUUCCCAGAAAGCCUAGCCCCAUUGUCGUUUUAAUCCCAAAUAACAUAUUUCAAAUAAAAAAAACUAUUCAAACGAAAAAAAAAUUCCCCUUCCCAGUA